GAUGAACGCUGGCGGCGUGCCUAAUACAUGCAAGUCGAGCGAACAGACGAGGAGCUUGCUCCUCUGACGUUAGCGGCGGACGGGUGAGUAACACGUGGAUAACCUACCUAUAAGACUGGGAUAACUUCGGGAAACCGGAGCUAAUACCGGAUAAUAUAUUGAACCGCAUGGUUCAAUAGUGAAAGACGGUUUUGCUGUCACUUAUAGAUGGAUCCGCGCCGCAUUAGCUAGUUGGUAAGGUAACGGCUUACCAAGGCGACGAUGCGUAGCCGACCUGAGAGGGUGAUCCGCCACACUGGAACUGAGACACGGUCCAGACUCCUACGGGAGGCCGCAGUAGGGACUCUUCCGCAAUGGGCGAAAGCCUGACGGAGCAACGCCGCGUGAGUGCUGAAGGUCUUCGGAUCGUAAAGCUCUGUUAUUAGGGAAGAACAAAUGUGUAAGUAACUAUGCCCGUCUUGACGGUACCUAAUCAGAAAGCCCCGGCUAACUACGUG
rnacentral:rRNA from 1 species